UACAGAGGGUGCGAGCGUUGUCCGGAAUCACUGGGCGUAAAGGGCGCGUAGGCGGCCUGAUAAGUAGGGGGUGAAAUCCUGUGGCUUAACUGCAGGGCUGCCUCCUAGACUGUUAGGCUCGAGCACGGUAGAGGCAGAUGGAAUUCCCGGUGUAGCGGUGGAAUGCGUAGAGAUCCGGAAGAACACCGGUGGCGAAGGCGGUCUGCUGGGGUCGAACUGACGCUGAGGCGCGACAGCGUGGGGAGCAAACAGG
rnacentral:rRNA from 1 species